GAUGAAGACGCAGCGAAAUGCGAUAAGUAAUGUGAAUUGCAGAAUUCAGUGAAUCAUCGAAUCUUUGAACGCACAUUGCGCCCGCCAGUAUUCUGGCGGGCAUGCCUGUUCGAGCGUCAUUUCAACCAUCAAGCCCCCGGCUUGUGUUGGGGACCUGCGGCUGCCGCAGGCCCUGAAAAGCAGUGGCGGGCUCGCUGUCACACCGAGCGUAGUAGCAUACAUCUCGCUCUGGGCGUGCUGCGGGUUCCGGCCGUUAAACCACCUUCAUAACCCAAGGUUGACCUCGGAUCAGGUAGGAAGACCCGCUGAACUUAAGCAUAUCAAUAAGCGGAGGA
rnacentral:misc_RNA from 1 species